rnacentral:rRNA from 1 species
CCUACGGGUGGCAGCAGUGAGGAAUAUUGGUCAAUGGUCGGGAGACUGAACCAGCCAAGCCGCGUGAGGGAUGAAGGUACAGAGUAUCGUAAACCUCUUUUGUCAGGGAACAAAGGCGGGGACGUGUCCCCGGAGGAGUGUACCUGAAGAAAAAGCCUGGGCUAACUCCGUGCCAGCAGCCGCGGUAAUACGGAGGAUGCGAGCGUUAUCCGGAUUUAUGGGGUUUAAGGGGUGCGCAGGCGGACUGUUAAGUCAGCGGUCAAAGCCCGGGGCUCAACCCGGGCCCGCCGUUGAAACUGGCAGUCUCGAGUUGGAGAGAAGUAUGCGGAAUGCGUGGUGUAGCGGUGAAAUGCAUAGAUAUCGCGCAGAACUCCGAUUGCGAAGGCAGCAUGCCGGCUCCACACUGACGCUGAGGCACGAAAGCGUGGGUAUCGAACAGGAUUAGAUACCCGUGUAGUC